AACGAACGCUGGCGGCAGGCUUAACACAUGCAAGUCGAACGCUCGUAGCAAUACGGGAGUGGCGGACGGGUGAGUAACGCGUGGGAACGUGCCCUGAGGUACGGAAUAACUGAGGGAAACUUCAGCUAAUACCGUAUGAGCCCCGAGAGGGGGAAAGAUUUAUCGCCUUGGGAGCGGCCCGCGUCGGAUUAGCUAGUUGGUGGGGUAAUGGCCUACCAAGGCUACGAUCCAUAGCUGGUCUGAGAGGAUGAUCAGCCACACUGGGACUGAGACACGGCCCAGACUCCUACGGGAGGCAGCAGUAGGGAAUCUUGCGCAAUGGGCGAAAGCCUGACGCAGCCAUGCCGCGUGAAUGAUGAAGGUCUUAGGAUUGUAAAAUUCUUUCACCGGGGACGAUAAUGACGGUACCCGGAGAAGAAGCCCCGGCUAACUUCGUGCCAGCAGCCGCGGU
rnacentral:rRNA from 1 species